rnacentral:rRNA from 1 species
GACGAACGCUGGCGGCGUGCUUAACACAUGCAAGUCGAACGGAAAGGCCCUGCUUUUGUGGGGUGCUCGAGUGGCGAACGGGUGAGUAACACGUGAGUAACCUGCCCUUGACUUUGGGAUAACUUCAGGAAACUGGGGCUAAUACCGGAUAGGAUCUCCUGCUGCAUGGUGGGGGUUGGAAAGUUUCGGCGGUUGGGGAUGGACUCGCGGCUUAUCAGCUUGUUGGUGGGGUAGUGGCUUACCAAGGCUUUGACGGGUAGCCGGCCUGAGAGGGUGACCGGCGACAUUGGGACUGAGAUACGGACCAGACGCCAACGGGAGGCAGCAGUGGGGAGUAUUGCACAAUAGGCGGGAGCCUGAUGUAGCAACGCCGCGUGCGGGAUGACGGGCUUCGGGUUGUAAACCGAUUUCGCCUGUGACGAAGCGUGAGUGACGGUAAUGGGUAAAGAAGCAACGGCUAACUACGUG